rnacentral:rRNA from 1 species
AGGGCCGCGGUAAUUUGACCGUGCGAAGGUAGCAUAAUCAUUAGUCUUUUAAUUGGAGGCUGGAAUGAAUGGUCGGAUGAGAGAUAUACUGUCUUUUUUUAUUGGUUGAAUUUUACUUUUAAGUGAAAAGGCUUAAAUAGAUUAGGGGGACGGUAAGACCCUAUAAAACUUUAUAUAAUAAAAAUAAAUUGUUAAAUUAAGUAUUAAAUUUAUUCAUUUUUUAUUAUAUUGCGUUGGGGCGACGAAGAUAAAAAUCUAACUGUUUAAAAAAUUUAAUAGAAAUAACUAGAUUAUGAUCCUUAUAUUGAGAUUAAAAGAUUAAGUUACUUUAGGGAUAACAGCGUAAUUUUCUUUGAGAGUUCUUAUCGACAAGAUUAGUUGCGACCUCGAUGUUGAAUUAAAGUGUUAGGUAGGUGUAGCAGUUUAUCUAGUGGGUCUGUUCGACCUUUAAAAUUUU